rnacentral:rRNA from 1 species
AUGGAUUUCUCGAACAAGUUUGUGACCGCCCAGGUGAUCCACACCCCAACAACAACCGUCCCGUGUUCUGCGAGCUCAUAGGAGAAGCUGCUGAGAUCGCACAUGUAGUCGACGGACGUCUCUGCCGCCGCAAAGAUUGGAAAGUUGUUGGGCGAGCGCCUGCUGCUCAAGUAGAUACCUGCCGUGUCCUGUUAGAUGAAGAGAGAGCAGAAGUACCAUCGGAAAGUCAAGGCUGUUAUAGAUUCUGUCAGAGAAGCUGGUGUCAAGUUGUUGUGA